rnacentral:rRNA from 1 species
GACGAACGCUGGCGGCGUGCUUAACACAUGCAAGUCGAACGGAAAGGCCCUGCUUUUGUGGGGUGCUCGAGUGGCGAACGGGUGAGUAACACGUGAGUAACCUGCCCUUGACUUUGGGAUAACUUCAGGAAACUGGGGCUAAUACCGGAUAGGAGCUCCUGCUGCAUGGUGGGGGUUGGAAAGUUUCGGCGGUUGGGGAUGGACUCGCGGCUUAUCAGCUUGUUGGUGGGGUAGUGGCUUACCAAGGCUUUGACGGGUAGCCGGCCUGAGAGGGUGACCGGCCACAUUGGGACUGAGAUACGGCCCAGACUCCUACGGGAGGCAGCGGUGGGGAAUAUUGCACAAUGGGCGGAAGCCUGAUGCAGCAACGCCGCGUGCGGGAUGACGGCCUUCGGGUUGUAAACCGCUUUCGCCUGUGACGAAGCGUGAGUGACGGUAAUGGGUAAAGAAGCACCGGCUAACUACGUGC